CUGUGUGAGUGGGAGUGUGUCUGACACACAGUCUCAGCUGCUGGCGGCUCUCCAUCACACUCACAUUGCACAUCAACAGAGCUCAGCUCCUGCCCAGGGAAACUCCUGUCCAUCACUGCAGCAAGCAGCAGCACGAUUAGCACCAGCCCCACAGCCACAACUCACAUUCCAGUUGCGACCGGUUCCUUGCUGCGGAAUCCCUGGAAAUAAGCAAAGGAAGAAGAACAACAUCAAAAAAGAAAGUUUGGUUUGUGUUUGGGGGUCUCCCCUCAUCGCCCUAUCUUCAAGGCAGCAUGAAAUCUGCAGAGGAAGAUGGCACAAACCAGAUCAUAGACUCCCUGCGAUAAGAGGCUGAUCACACCAAUAACAGUGAUAAACAGAUGUGCACCAACCAGAUCCACUGUCUACACCACUCAAGCUGAAUGGAUAGAUGCAGGCACCUUGAAAAUGUACAAUUGGUAGGGCUUUCUUGACAUGACCAGAAAAUGAACAAUUUGAUGGAGAAUGUGGUGGGAGGACAAUGGAAGAAAAGAGAUUGAAAUUAGACAUUCCUAUGCUUAGUUGCUGUGGGAAACAUGUUAAAAACAAUGUAAAGAGACAAUUUAAAAAAAAACAACAGACAAACCAUGUAAGUUUAAAAAAAAAGUUUGAAAAGUUAGGAACAAGUUGUCUCCUGACAAUGUGCAUUUUGCUUUUUGGA